GGCCUGGCUGGGUGGUCUUGCCGAAAGGUAAGCACUGCUCUGGUCGGGUCUUUCCUUCUGGGGAACCAGCGUGCUCUUAACUGAGUGCGUUGAGGAUCCAGGACUUUUACUUUGAAAAAAUUAGAGUGUUUAAAGCAGGCUUUCAAGCUUGAACAUAUUAGCAUGGAAUAAUGAAAUAGG
rnacentral:rRNA from 1 species